rnacentral:lncRNA from 10 species
AUGCCAGUCAGCUUGGAGGUGUUCACAGCCAUGCAUCAUGUUCUCUACAUAUGAAAGAAAAGUGACGCUCACAAAACUGGUCUUUGACGUGAUCCAGAGCACCAUGAAUAGCUGAGUGAUUGCAUUCUCAAGGAGGUCUCAGAGUCAGACAGGGAGGGUGAGAAAUAUAUGAGAAGAAGAAGACAGAAGAGUUCAUUUCAAAUGGGAGUACAGUGAUGCAGAACUUGUGCAUACCUGCUGGGAAGGGACGUUAGGCCAUCGACUUUUCAACUCUCAUGGCUACCUUACCAAGGAAUGAAGUGACUGACUCAGCCAAGGUCAUGUCCUGAUGAGGCUGGACCCUGGUUCCCUUGGGCUCCCCCAAUACACACAACAUUCUUUGCACUGAAAGUGUACCUGGCAAAAUUUGGCUUCAUUGCCUAUGUUGUGGUACUUGAAAAAAAUGUUUAGAUAGAUAAGCAGCCAGUGGCUGAGUGGUAAAAACAAAGUGUUCAUCAAGGAGAGGCUGUACAGUGGUUCUCAGACUUAAGCAUGCACAGGAAUAACUAAGGGAACAUGUUGCAAAGACAGAUUCUUC